UACGGGGGGAGCAAGCGUUGUUCGGAUUUACUGGGCGUAAAGGGCGCGUAGGCGGCCAGUGCAAGUCAGUUGUGAAAUCUCCGAGCUUAACUCGGAAAGGUCAACUGAUACUGCUCGGCUAGAGUGCGGAAGGGGCAACUGGAAUUCUUGGUGUAGCGGUGAAAUGCGUAGAUAUCAAGAGGAACACCAAUGGCGAAGGCAGCACUCUGGGACGUGACUGACGCUGAGACGCGAAAGCGUGGGGAGCGAACAGG
rnacentral:rRNA from 1 species